rnacentral:rRNA from 10 species
AAUGAGAACUUUGAAGACUGAAGUGGAGAAAGGUUUGGCGUGAACAGCAAUUGGACGCCAGUGAGCCGCUCCUAAGAGAUAGGGGAAGUCCGUUCUGAAGUUGGGCUAUUCCGGUAGCCCCGCCUAUCGAAAGGGAACAAGGUUAAUAUUCCUUGGCCGGGACGUGGAUAUGGUGGCGACACAAACCGGUUCGGAGACGUCGGCGGGAGCCCCAGGGAGAGUUUUCUUUUCUUGUUAACAGCCUAUUGCCCUGGAAUCAGUUUGCCUGGAGAUAGGGCUCCAUGGCUGGGAAAGCACAUGGAUCUUCCGCGUGUCUGGUGCGCUCUCGACGGCCCUUGAAAAUCCGAAUCGGGGACUCUAUUCGCACCCCCGGGCGUACUCUUAACC